rnacentral:sRNA from 1 species
GAGCCAAAUCCCCAAGAGCUAAGCAGAAGGGCCCGCGAGCCCACCAGGACACCGCGUGAGCAACGCAGAAGAGCCCGCGAGCCCACCAGCAGCACCAGGACACCGCGUGAGCAACGCAGUAGGGCCCGCGAGCCCACCAGCAGCACCAGGACACCGCGUGAGCAACGCAGAAGGGCCCGCGAGCCCACCAGCAGCACCAGGACACCGCGUGAGCAACGCAGAAGGGCCCGCGAGCCCACCAGCAGCACCAGGACACCGCGUGAGCAACGCAGAAGAGCCCGCGAGCGCCCAGAACACUAGCAACGGUCAUUUCUCCUGUGUUGGCCACCGGGGUCAGUCGACUCUUGGCGGCAGCAGGCGGAUCUUUUGGCAAGCACUCUUAGGGCUGGACGCCUUCGCCUCCAGCUAUCCAGCUAAUAGCAGAAGUGACUACGAAGUGUCUGGAGCCCCCUCCAGGCACCGACUUUACCCCGCAGCCAGUAUAAGCUAAGAGGUGGCAGAGGAACCUCCUCAAGGAGAGCUAAGCAGAAGGGCCCAGGAGCCCACCAGCAGCUCCAGGACAUCGCGUGAGCAAAGCUGGAUGCGCGCGCCCACCUGCAGCACCAGAACACCGCGUGAGCAAAACAGGAGGGCCCGUGAGCUCUCGAGGGCAACAGCAACGGUCAGUUCCCCUAUACUGGCCACCCGCUCAGUCGACUCUUGCCGGCAGCAGGUGGAUCUUCAGUCGCAGCCCUGGCUAGCACUCAUACAGCUGGACUCCUUAGCCUCCAGCUAUACAGUUAUUAGUAAACUGACUACAAGGUGCCUGGGGAAGACUCCAGGCAGUUACUUUAUCCCGCAGCCUUUACAAGCUAAGAGGUGGCAGAGGAGCCUCCUAAAGGAGCACCCAGAACACCAGCCGCGGUCACUUCCUCUGUUUUGGCCACUGGCUCACUGGUCUCUUAGCCUCGGCAAGCUGAUCUUCCAGGCUCACCUCUGGUGAGCACUCCUUGUGCUGGACGCCUUCCUACCAGCUAUCCAGCUAUUAGGAGAAGGGACUACAAGGUGCCUGUAGCCCCCUCCAGCACACACUAUCCUCUGCCAGCCAGUACAAGGCGGCAGAGGAGCCUCCUUCGGGAGAGCUAAGCAGAAGGGUCUGUGAGCCCAGAAGCAAACAGUUCCAGGACACCGCGUGAGCAAAGCCGGACCCGCGCGCCCACCAGCAGCACCGGGACACCGCGUGACCAACGCAGAAGGACCAGAGAGCGCCCAGAACACCAGCUGCAAUCACUUCCUCUGUAUUGGCCACCCCCUCGGGGGUCUCUUAGCCUGGGCGGCGGAUCUUCCAGGCUCACCACUGGUGAAUACACCUUGUGGCUGAGGAGCCUCCUUCAGGAGAGCUAAGCGGAAGGGUCCGCGAGCCCACCAGCAGCACCGGAACACCGCGUGGCCAAAGCAGAAGGACCUGGGAGCGCCCAGAACACCAGCCGCGGUCACCUCCUCUGUAUUGGCCACCUGCUCAGUGGGCUCUUAGGGUGCGCAGGCCCGUCUUCAAGGCUCACCUCUGGUGAGCACUCCUUGUGCUGGACGCCUUCCUACCAGCUAUCCAGCUAUUAGGAGAAGGGACUACAAGGUGCCUGUAGCCCCCUCCAGCACACACUAUCCUCUGCCAGCCAGUACAAGGCGGCAGAGGAGCCUCCUUCGGGAGAGCUAAGCAGAAGGGUCUGUGAGCCCAGAAGCAAACAGUUCCAGGACACCGCGUGAGCAAAGCCGGACCCGCGCGCCCACC